rnacentral:lncRNA from 1 species
AUGGAUGAAGCUGCCAAACUGGCAACCACAACAUUUCUUUGUUUGAGUAAAGAAAACCACCUCAGAAGAUGACCUUUCCUCAACGUUUUUCUCAACUCCAAUAGAAAUCCAGAGAGAGGUAUUUGAGAAGGCAGAUUUUUCUGUGGAAGUUAGUUUCCUUCUUGAAUUUUCAAAUUGCAGCAACCUAAACUGAGUAUCUUGCAAAAAGUAAGAUUAAUCAACAGUUUGGUUGUUCCAAAGAAGCAUCUCCUGCCAAGCCCAGUGAGAGUCAAAAAGUGCCCAGGAGACCAUAUCCACCUGGCCAGCUGCCACAGGCUCUUCAACCCUACCGAGGAUGGGAUCCAUCAUGCCUUCCUCCUCACUGUGGCCCAGGACUUAUUCCGCUACCUCUUCCUCCUGGUCCACCAGGGCGCAUUCCUCCUCCUCCUCCCUUUGGCCCAGGGCGCAUUCCAUUUCAACCCCUUCCACAGGGACCCAUUAAACAAGCUAAACCCUUUCCAGGUUACCCAGAACCACCUUUCCAACAAAGACCUUACCCUCCAGGACCUCCUCAGGUGCCAAAAGGCCAACUUCCCUUUAUUCCUUUUUGCCCUCCUUGCCCCACCCCUACAACCCUAUGUGAAACAACCACCACAGCUACAACCACAAGCACUACCGUUACAGAACCCACCACCAUACCACGAAAGAAACCACUACUUCCACAGAACUCACUACCACAACAGCAACCACCACCACUUGCACUGAACCUUCCACCACCCCAGCAGCCAUCACUUCCACUGAACCCACCACCACAGCACCCACCACCAGCACUUCCAUAGAACCCAUUGUCACCACAACAGAAGCCACCACUUCCUCAACAGCACCGACUUAUUCAGCAACAGAACCCAGCACCACCACAUCAACAGCAACCACCACUGCAGCAUCUACUGCAGCUACUACUCAAAUUACAACUACCACUAAUUCACCACUCCAGCAAAAAAUACAAUCACAACAAAACUACAUCAAAAAAAUAUAACUUUUAAGAGUUUUUGGAAUAAAUCCUUUGCCAUUUUUCAUAGGAAGAUAUGAGAAAUGAUAUUUUCCAAACCACUGUGAGCUCUUAGGAGAAAUGAACUUCAGUUAUUUCAAUGGAACCAACCGUGUAAUCAGUACACAAAACAAAUAAAGUAUUUGAGCAAUAACAUGCACCUAUUGCCAUGAUAACUGUCGUGAUAACUCCCACUCUAUCCUAUAUUUUAUUAC